GCGAGAUUAGCUCAGCGGAAGAGCAACACGUUUACACCGUGAAGGCCGGGGGUUCGAUCCCCUCAUCUCGCACCA
rnacentral:tRNA from 1 species